AGACGGAGGGGGCUAGCGUUAUUCGGAAUUACUGGGCGUAAAGGGCGCGUAGGCGGAUUAGUAAGUUGGGAGUGAAAGCCCGGGGCUUAACCUCGGAACUGCUUUCAAAACUGCUAGUCUUGAGUGAAGUAGGGGGUGAUGGAAUUCCUAGUGUAGAGGUGAAAUUCUUAGAUAUUAGGAGGAACACCGGUGGCGAAGGCGGUCACCUGGACUUCAACUGACGCUGAGGCGCGAAAGCGUGGGGAGCAAACAGCAUUAGAUACCCUAGUAGUCC
rnacentral:rRNA from 1 species